AUCAACGCUGGCGGCGUGCCUCAGACAUGCAAGUCGAACGCGAAAGUCCCCUUCGGGGGGCAAGUAGAGUGGCGCACGGGUGAGUAACACGUAGGUAAUCUACCUUUGGAUGGGGAAUAACAACCGGAAACGGGUGCUAAUACCGCAUAAUGCAGCGGCACCUAAUGGUGACAGUUGUUAAAGCGGGGGAUCGAAAGACCUCGCGUCUAAAGAGGAGCCUGCGGCGGAUUAGCUAGUUGGUAAGGUAAUGGCUUACCAAGGCGACGAUCCGUAACCGGCCUGAGAGGGCGGUCGGUCACACUGACACUGACAUACGGGUCAGACUCCUACGGGAGGCAGCAGUCGGGAAUUUUGGGCAAUGGGCGAAAGCCUGACCCAGCAACGCCGCGUGAAGGAUGAAAUCCCUCGGGAUGUAAACUUCGCAAGAACGGGAAGAAUAAGUAGGGGACAAUACCCCCUAUGAUGACGGUACCGUUUGUAAGCUCCGGCUAACUCCGUGCCAGCAGCCGCGGUAAUACGGGGGGGGCAAGCGUUGUUCGGAAUUACUGGGCGUAAAGGGCUCGUAGGCGGCCAACUAAGUCAGACGUGAAAUCCCUCGGCUUAACCGGGGAACUGCGUCUGAUACUGGAUGGCUUGAGAUUGGGAGAGGGAUGCGGAAUUCCAGGUGUAGCGGUGAAAUGCGUAGAUAUCUGGAGGAACACCGGUGGCGAAGGCGACAUCCUGGACCAAUACUGACGCUGAGGAGCGAAAGCCAGGGGAGCA
rnacentral:rRNA from 1 species